rnacentral:rRNA from 1 species
CGGACGGGUGAGUAAUGUCUGGGAAACUGCCUGAUGGAGGGGGGUAACUACUGGAAACGGUAGCUAAUACCGCAUAACGUCGCAAGACCAAAGAGGGGGACCUUAGGGCCUCUUGCCAUCGGAUGUGCCCAGAUGGGAUUAGCUAGUAGGUGGGGUAACGGCUCACCUAGGCGACGAUCCCUAGCUGGUCUGAGAGGAUGACCAGCCACACUGGAACUGAGACACGGCCCAG